CGGAGGAAAAGAAACCAACAGGGAUUGCCCUAGUAACGGCGAGUGAAGCGGCAACAGCUCAAAUUUGAAAUCUGGCUCUCGGGCCCGAGUUGUAAUUUGUAGAGGAUGCUUUUGGUGCGGUGCCUUCCGAGUUCCCUGGAACGGGACGCCAUAGAGGGUGAGAGCCCCGUCUGGUUGGACGCCAAACCUCUGUAAAGCUCCUUCGACGAGUCGAGUAGUUUGGGAAUGCUGCUCUAAAUGGGAGGUAUAUGUCUUCUAAAGCUAAAUACCGGCCAGAGACCGAUAGCGCACAAGUAGAGUGAUCGAAAGAUGAAAAGCACUUUGAAAAGAGAGUUAAAAAGUACGUGAAAUUGUUGAAAGGGAAGCGCUCAUGACCAGACUUGGGCUUGGUUGAUCAUCCAGGGUUCUCCCUGGUGCACUCUUCCAGUCCAGGCCAGCAUCAGUUUGCCCUGGGGGAUAAAGGCUUCGGGAAUGUGGCUCCUCCGGGAGUGUUAUAGCCCGUUGUGUAAUACCCUGGGGCGGACUGAGGUUCGCGC
rnacentral:rRNA from 1 species